rnacentral:rRNA from 1 species
AGAAUCAACGCUGGCGGCGUGCCUAACACAUGCAAGUCGAACGAGAAAGUGGAGCAAUCCAUGAGUAAAGUGGCGGCACGGGUGAGUAACACGUGACUAACCUACCCUUGAGUGGGGGAUAACCUAAGGGAAACCUGGGCUAAUAACCGCAUAAUACCUUCGGGUCAAAGGAGCAAUUCGCUUAAGGAGGGGGUCGCGGCCGAUUAGUUAGUUGGCGGGGUAAUGGCCCACCAAGACUGUGAUCGGUAU